GUGCGCACUUCGGCAACACAUAUACUAAAAUUGGAAAGAGCGAUACAGAGAAGAUUAGCAUGGCCCCUGGGCAAGGAUGACAUGCAAAUGUUGAAGCGCUUCAUAUUUUA